rnacentral:rRNA from 1 species
CCUUAGAUGUUCUGGGCCGCACGCGCGCUACACUGACAGAGCCAACGAGUAUAAACCUUAACCGAGAGGUUUGGGUAAUCUUGUUAAACUCUGUCGUGCUGGGGAUAGAGCAUUGCAAUUAUUGCUCUUCAACGAGGAAUAUCUAGUAAGCGCAAGUCAUCAGCUUGCGUUGAUUACGUCCCUGCCCUUUGUACACACCGCCCGUCGCUACUACCGAUUGAAUGGCUCAGUGAGGCCUUCGGACUGGCUCAGGGAGGUCGGCAACGACCACCCAGAGCCGGAAAGUUGGUCAAACUUGGUCAUUUAGAGGAAGUAAAAGUCGUAACAAGGUUUGAAGUAAGAUCCUUCCAAUGGUGACGCUUAUGAGAAGCCUUUGUGGCCCAGCAAUGGGUUGCCCGCCGCGACUAUAAACAAGAGAUUGUGGGUAUUAAAUGCAAGUCAGUUCUGAACUGGCGACACUUUCGAACUGCCGGGAACACCCUAAAGCCAGCCUACACCAACCAGCUGAGGAAACUCUGCUUGGGGCUCAUGCUAACGACAUGAGGUACGGUAAUAGCGAGACUGGAUGUAACAAUGGGUAAUCCGCAGCCAAGGUCCUUCUGCCAACUGGUUGGCAAUGGAACAGGUUCACAGACUAAGUGGAAGUGGGCUGCUUGUGCAGCUUAAGAUAUAGUCGGGCCAGCUGGGAAACCAGCCGGGAGUCAUCAUGACCAUGUAACAAACUGUUCCGUAGGUGAACCUGCGGAAGGAUCAUUAGCGUACUUAAUAGUCUUUUAUGAUUAAACCUUUUGUGAACCAAAAAACCUUUACGCUUCGGUAGCAAGCCUUGCGGGUUGGGCCGUAACUGGCCCGCCCCAAAGCUGUCAGCCUGCCGGCAGCACUUUAUUCAAAACCUGUUUAAAAAACAUGUCUGAACAGAAUCAUUUUCGAAUGAAAAUUAAAACUUUCAACAACGGAUCUCUUGGUUCUCGCAUCGAUGAAGAACGCAGCGAAACGCGAUAGUUAAUGUGAAUUGCAGAAUUCAGUGAAUCAUCGAGUCUUUGAACGCACAUUGCGCCCAUAGGUAUUCCUUUGGGCAUGUCUGUUUGAGCGUCAUUACAACCCUCAGCUACCUGCUGGUUAUGAGCCUGGCUGAAAAACCUCGCAAGAGGUUCGAAAUCCGGCUUUAAAGUUGUAUGCUCUGCUGGCUGCUCUGCCUGACCAAAACAUAGUAAUUUUCUUACCACUGUUUAGAAUGGCUCUGCACGCUCGGCCUGAAUAAAACCCAACUUCUCUUAGGUUUGACCUCAGAUCAGAUAAGGAUACCCGCUGAACUUAAGCAUAUCAAUAAGCGGAGGAAAAGAAACCAACAGGGAUUGCCUCAGUAACGGCGAGUGAAGCGGCAACAGCUCAAAUUUGAAAUCUGGAGUCUUCGACUUCCGAGUUGUAAUUUGAAGAGGAUGUUUCGGUUGGGACCUGGGCCUAAGUUCCUUGGAACAGGACGUCGUAGAGGGUGAGAAUCCCGUACACGGCUGCCGGUCUCCUUCCAUGUGAAGCUCCCUCGAAGAGUCGAGUUGUUUGGGAAUGCAGCUCAAAAUGGGUGGUAAAUUUCAUCUAAAGCUAAAUAUUGGCGAGAGACCGAUAGCGCACAAGUAGAGUGAUCGAAAGAUGAAAAGCACUUUGAAAAGAGAGUUAAACAGUACGUGAAAUUGUUGAAAGGGAAGCGCUUGCAAUCAGACUUGCCUGCGGUUGAUCAACGUUCCUUUUGGUUCGUGCACUCUGCCGUUGUGCAGGCCAGCAUCAGUUGGUGCGGUGGGACAAAGGUUUUGGGAAUGUGGCACCCCUCGGGGUGUGUUAUAGCCCAUUUCGUAAUGCCACCAGCGCCGAUUGAGGUCCGCGGUUCGUCCUAGGAUGCUGGCUUAAUGGUUGUAAGCGAC